rnacentral:lncRNA from 1 species
CUACGAGAAACCUCCAGAGUAUCAUCCACCAGUUGAAAAUCCCCCAUUUUAUAAACCACCGGUAGAGAAACCACCUGUGUAUAAACCACCAAUAGAGCAACCUCCAAUUUAUAAGCCACCUGUAGAAAAUCCUCCAAUUUAUAAACCACCAGUAGAGAAACCACCCGUGUAUAAACCACCGUUUGAGAAACCUCCAAUCUACCAUCCACCAGUAGAGAUACCACCAGUGUACAACCCACCAGUUGAACAUCCUCCAAUUUACAAGCCUCCUGUAUACAAACCACCAGUAGAGCAACCUCCCGUCUAUAAGCCACCAGUAGAGAAGCCUCCAAUUUACAAGCCACCAGUAGAGAAACCUCCUGUUUACCAACCUCCUGUUUACAAGCCCCCAGUUGAGAAACCUCCAGUGUACAAGCCACCUGUAGAAAAGCCACCAGUGUACAAGCCACCUGUAGAAAAGCCACCAGUGUACAAGCCACCUGUAGAAAAGCCUCCUAUAUACAAACCACCAGUAGAGAAACCACCAGUGUACAAACCACCCGUUGAGAAACCCCCGGUUUAUAAGCCACCAGUAGAGAAACCACCUGUGUACAAGCCACCAGUUGAGAAGCCCCCAAUUUACAAGCCACCAGUAGAGAAACCACCUGUAUACAAGCCACCAGUUGAGAAGCCUCCAGCUUACAAGCCACCAGUUGAGAAGCCACCUGUAGAGAAACCACCAGUGUACAAGCCACCGGUUGAGAAGCCCCCAAUUUACAAACCACCAGUUGAGAAGCCUCCAGUGUACAAGCCACCGGUUGAGAAACCACCUGUCUACAAGCCACCUGUAGAAAAUCCACCUGUUUACAAGCCACCAUUUGAGAAACCUCCAAUUUAUAAACCGCCAAUAGAGUAUCCACCCGUGUACAAGCCCCCUUUUGAGAAACCCCCCAUCUACAAGCCACCUGUAGAGAAACCUCCUUUUUACAAGCCUCCGUUUGAGAAUCCACCAUUUUAUAUACCUCCAGUUGAGGAGCCUCCUGUUUACAAGCCUCCAUUCGAGAAGCCACCAAUUUACACUCCUCCAUUCUAGAGCCCACCUUACCACCCAAAGUUCCCUCGGGCAGGCGAUGGUACUCGUUAAUAGAACAUGCUAUGAAGAAAAUAUGUUAAAUAAGAGAUAUAUAGAGUUUUUUAUUUAAUCAAGGAAUAUAUAU